GACGAACGCUGGCGGCGUGCUUAACACAUGCAAGUCGAACGGAAAGGCCCUGCUUUUGUGGGGUGCUCGAGUGGCGAACGGGUGAGUAACACGUGAGUAACCUGCCCUUGACUUUGGGAUAACUUCAGGAAACUGGGGCUAAUACCGGAUAGGAGCUCCUGCUGCAUGGUGGGGGUUGGAAAGUUUCGGCGGUUGGGGAUGGACUCGCGGCUUAUCAGCUUGUUGGUGGGGUAGUGGCUUACCAAGGCUUUGACGGGUAGCCGGCCUGAGAGGGUGACCGGCAACAUUGGGACUGAGAUACGGCCCAGACCCCUCCGGGAGGCAGCAGAGGGGAAUAUUGCACAGUGGGGGGAAGCCUGAUGCAGCGACGCCGCGUGCGGGAUGACGGCCUUUGGGUUGUAAACCGCUUCCGCCUGUGACGAAGCGUGAGUGACGGUAAUGGGUAAAGAAGCACCGGCUAACUACGUG
rnacentral:rRNA from 1 species